AUGUCAGGAUCUGUAUUACAGCCUGACACACCUGUAGUGCCCAGCAGGAGACAACUUAACACCGAAGAAGAGCAGGCAAAUUCAGAACAUGAGAUUGCCAGGCAACUGUGGGAUGACUGUGCACAGUUAACAAGCGUGCUUGAGCCUCAGCUUCCUGUGAUUCAGGCGAACAAAUCAAAAGCAUUAGCGAGAUCUAGCUUGCGGGGGACAACAUAUGAGCAGCUUGUGAGUGAUCAUCAGAAAAGGAAAAAAGUAAUUCCAAAUUAUUGGAGUGCUGCCUAUAAUGGAAAGCAAACUGGGAAGGGAAGUUCACAUUUAGCAGAGGCUGUUUUAUGUGCAGAAACCACUAAAACAACAUCAGGGAGAACAGUAGAGCUGAGGGAGACUUCAUCAGUAAGGUACAAAGGUAUUGUUUCCAGUCAUGAACAAAUGCCAGAAGGACUGCAAAAACUACCUCAUCGUCACACUAAGAGAAGUAAAGCUAAGUAUUUUAGGUAUGACAAAGGCAUGUGUAAUAUUCCUAAAGUAUGCUUCUUAUUAAUGUACUACACAUACAGACUACAUAUUCUUCAUUUUAAUGACUUCAGAUGAUCCAUAAGUAAGGUUUUCCCUUCUUUUUAAAGAUAGGUAAGUCAGUUUCCCUCUUGAUUUUUCCUUUUAUUGAGUACUAAAUUGGCAUGUAUCCUUCCACAGUUAGAAACUGUCAAAUAUAUGAAUCUUUGUAAAUCUACCAAAAGGACAGCUUCUUGUGGAGAAUAUUUUUGUUGAUUCAAACAAAUCUCUUGACAGUAAAAUUCAGAAAUCUUCUUCUAAAAACAAGCAAGGUCCAGAAAUCAACAUGUCCCAAGAAGUGUUUCAGAAUGAGGAUGGAAAAGCUGACAAGAGAAGGAGGAGCAAAAAAGUCAGAGAUAAAAUGAGUAAGAUAGCUGUCUGAUAAGUAUCAGAAAUCACUUUUUCAUUUGAACUACUGUACUGAACCAAAUGUAAUUCAGAGUCAUGCCGGUAUAUUGUGACAUGAAUUCCUUUUAGAAAGAUGG
rnacentral:lncRNA from 1 species